rnacentral:rRNA from 1 species
UACGUAGGGGGCAAGCGUUGUCCGGAUUUAUUGGGCGUAAAGAGCUCGUAGGCGGUUCAGUAAGUCAGGUGUGAAAUCUUUGGGCUUAACCCAAAGCGUGCACUUGAUACUGCUGUGACUUGAGUUCGGUAGGGGAGUGGGGAAUUCCUAGUGUAGCGGUGAAAUGCGCAGAUAUUAGGAGGAACACCGGUGGCGAAGGCGCCACUCUGGGCCGAAACUGACGCUGAGGAGCGAAAGCGUGGGUAGCAAACAGG